UGGGAGCCUGAGCAUCACUGAGAAGAUGGGU
rnacentral:piRNA from 1 species